UCUACUUUUUUCUCGUAGAAAAUAACCCGUUAUUUUAACUAAACAGCUCUCUUAUAUAUUACAUGGCCCACCGCUGUUUUGGAAAAAUAAAGUAAAUUAAAAAAAGAGACCCCUGGUUUAACAUAACGGGUCUCCAGCUUUCUGCUUUCCUUCAUUUUGUCCUCCGCGUGAAACCAAUUCACGCUAUUGUGUUUGCCUCUCUCUUCCCCUCAAUAUACAAGUUUAGGGAAACCAUUGGUGAACUCACCACUACCGGCGAAUUACACUACCAUCGUCGACUUGCAUACCACCGGCGACCUCACCAUCACCACCACUAGCGAAAUACAAAUUUAGGUUAUUCAUUUGCAUAUUGCGACUUUGAUGAACUGCUAUUUUUACGAACUGCUAGGCACCAUUCUUGGGAGUUUGGCCCUUGCUCUUCAUGACAAUGUACAAGCUAGAGAAAUUUGAGUUCUGCUUUGACAUUGGCGAAGAAACUUAAUGAUGGCCCAACACAGAUCUGGGUACUAUCAAUUCUGUCAGAGUAAUUGCAACAUUGGACGUCUGGACGGUUGAAGUUGGCCGAAACUGUGCAUUUUUCUAAGAGACGAUGUUGUCUUGCUUCAAAUGCCUACGAUUCCAUAUACAUUUACAUCCUUCAAUACCCAUCCAUCUCGGAAAUAUCGAG